rnacentral:rRNA from 1 species
GGAAUCUUGAGAGCGGCGUACGGGUGCGGAACACGUGUGCAACCUGCCUUUAUCAAGGGGAUAGCCUUUCGAAAGGAAGAUUAAUACCCUAUAAUAUAUUUACUGGCAUCAGCGAAUAUUGAAAACUACGGUGGAUAAAGAUGGGCACGCGCAAGAUUAGCUAGUUGGUGAGGUAACGGCUCACCAAGGCGACGAUCUUUAGGGGGCCUGAGAGGGUGAUCCCCCACACUGGUACUGAGACACGGACCAGACUCCUACGGGAGGCAGCAGUGAGGAAUAUUGGACAAUGGGUGGAAGCCUGAUCCAGCCAUCCCGCGUGCAGGAAGACGGCCCUAUGGGUUGUAAACUGCUUUUAUCUGGGGAUAAACCUACUUACGUGUAAGUAGCUGAAGGUACCAGAAGAAUAAGCACCGGCUAACUCCGUGCCAGCAGCCGCGGUAAUACGGAGGGUGCAAGCGUUAUCCGGAUUUAUUGGGUUUAAAGGGUCCGUAGGCGGACUAGUAAGUCAGUGGUGAAAUCCGACAGCUUAACUGUCGAACUGCCAUUGAUACUGCUAGUCUUGAGUAAGGUUGAAGUGGCUGGAAUAAGUAGUGUAGCGGUGAAAUGCAUAGAUAUUACUUAGAACACCAAUUGCGAAGGCAGGUCACUAAGUCUUAACUGACGCUGAUGGACGAAAGCGUGGGGAGCGAACAGGAUU